UAAGGAGAUUUGAAGCAUAAACUAAAGAAUUUUUAAAAACAUGUAAUGGCGAUUGGAGGCGGGAUUGUGAAUGAGAUUCAAAGUGAUUUGAGUAUAAAAAAUACACAAAACACAGAGAAAGCACAAAGAAACCCGUACUAUGAAGCCAUUUUGGUAUUAGGGAAAGAAGAGCAAGGGCACCCCGUAGAAAACCUACAGGUAUUUCAGAGCUAUUUAUCAAAAUCUCUCCCCUGUUUUUUGCCUCUUUCCCGAUUCAAUUU
rnacentral:sRNA from 1 species